rnacentral:rRNA from 1 species
AUUGAACGCUGGCGGCAUGCCUUACACAUGCAAGUCGAACGGCAGCACGGGAGCAAUCCUGGUGGCGAGUGGCGAACGGGUGAGUAAAGCAUCGGAACGUGCCCAGUCGUGGGGGAUAACGUAGCGAAAGCUACGCUAAUACCGCAUACGAUCUGUGGAUGAAAGCGGGGGACCGUAAGGCCUCGCGCGAUUGGAGCGGCCGAUGUCAGAUUAGGUAGUUGGUGAGGUAAAGGCUCACCAAGCCGACGAUCUGUAGCUGGUCUGAGAGGACGAGCAGCCGCAAUGGGACUGGGACACGGCCCAGACUCCUACGGGAGGCAGCAGUGGGGAAUUUUGGACAAUGGGCGCAAGCCUGAUCCAGCAAUGCCGCGUGAAGGAUGAAGGCCUUCGGGUUGUAAACUGCUUUUGCACGGAGCGAAACGGCUUCCACUAAUACUGGGGGCUAAUGACGGUACCGUAAGAAUAAGCACCGGCUAACUGCGUGCCAGCCGCCGCCGUAACAC